rnacentral:rRNA from 1 species
AGGAUGAACGCUGGCGGUAUGCUUAACACAUGCAAGUCGAACGAGAGUCUUCGGACUUUAGUGGCGGACGGGUGAGUAACGCGUGAGAAUCUGCCUUUAGGACGGGGACAACAGUUGGAAACGGCUGCUAAAACCCGAUGUGCCCUUCGGGGUGAAAUAUUUAUAGCCUGAAGAUGAGCUCGCGUCUGAUUAGCUAGUAGGUAAGGUAAUGGCUUACCUAGGCGACGAUCAGUAACUGGUCUGAGAGGAUGACCAGUCACACUGGGACUGAGACACGGCCCAGACUCCUACGGGAGGCAGCAGUGGGAAUUUCCGCAAUGGGCGCAAGCCUGACGGAGCAAUACCGCGUGAGGGAGGAAGGCCCUAGUGGGUCGUAAACUGCUUUCGUACCAGAGAAAACCCUUCUACGUGUAGAAGGUUGAUAGUAUGGUAAGAAUAAGCAUCGGCUAACUUCGUGCCAGCAGGCCGC